AAUGAACGCUGGCUGCAGGCCUAACACAUGCAAGUCGAAAGAGUGCCGGACGGGUGAGUAAUGUCUGGGAAACUGCCUCCCGGAGGGGGAUAAUUACUGGAAAAGGUAGCUAAUAACGCAUAUCAUCUGAUGUGCCCAGAUGGGAUUAGCUAGUAGGUGGGUUAACGGACCACCUAGGCGACGAUCCCUCGCUGGUCUGAUAGGAUGACCAGCCACACUGGAACUGAGACACGAUCCAGACUCCAACGGGAGGCAGCAGUGAGGAAUAUUGCACAAGUGGCGCAAGCCUAGUGCAGCCAUGCCGCGUGUAGGAAACAGGCCUUCGGGUUGUAAAGUACUUUCAGCGGGGAGGCGUUACCCGCAGAAGAAGCACCGGCUAACUCCGUGCCAGCAGCCGCGGUAAUUC
rnacentral:rRNA from 1 species